rnacentral:misc_RNA from 1 species
AGUUUGCAGAUGGCGCUUUUACAAAUAUAUUUAACAUAAUAGCAAAUAGAAGAAUAAACGUUGGGUAAUUCAUAUUCUUGCCGAUUUCAGUGCAUUUACGUUUUCAUAAUACUUUGGAUAUAACUAUUGGUGAAUGAAAAUUUGAAGCUCAAUUCUCUUCAAUAAAGAGUCAAGGAAUUGUUAAAUAACGGUUAGAAUUUGAAAGUGACGCUACAACUAAACGAUAAUGAGGGCUCUUAUCACUUUACUAUGGAUAUGCUUAUUUGUUAUAUCUGUUCAGUCAUCAGACACGCGUGAAGAUGAGGAUUUCAAAUUACAUCUAAUAGGGAGAAUCGAUUAUACAGUCAACAGUCCAGUUGGCAAAUUUUAUCCUAGUGUGGGGUUGUACGCCAGUAAGAGUAAAGAAGAAUUGCAACAGUUGAAGAAGGGUGGCAAUAUUACGCUGGUAUGCAGCGUUGAUGAGCCAAAAAAGCAAAUGAAAAUUAGUUUAUUCAAAAAAUUCGAAAAGGAUAACGGAGAUUCUGAGUAUAAGUUUCUCGGAGGUCAUCUCAACUCCGCCGAAUCUCCACCAACAGAAUUUACGAAGAACAGAUACUUUUAUCCUGUGAAUUACAAAUCAUACGCAGAGAAAGGUUAUGGAAGAUAUCUUCGUUUUACAAUGACUGACAUAGGACCCAAUGAUAUGGGUGAAUUUGCUUGUAGACCGUCAACGGGCGGAAUAUCUCCAAACACCUAUAUAAAGACUAAACUAGUAAUACCAUACUUACCGAUAGAAUCGACUGAAUUAAAAGAAAUUACUCAAAACAUAAACGAAACUGUGGAAAAAGAACUGGAGAAGGAGAGUGAAGACCCAAUUAUUGUAUUAAAAUCGGAUAAAACUAAAAGGCUUCAAUACAAAGUAUCUUUGAAAACAGAAGAAAAACCAAUCAUAACAUUUGAUGGUGGAGAACAUGAAAAAGAGAGCCCUGUGAAAUGGGAUGGUCCUGAUGUCGAAUGCGAUAAGAGUAAAAUAGAUGUGAUUUAUCAACAUACCAUUUGUUAUUACACAUACACGGCAAAAUUUAGUGAUUUUAAGUUGACGGAUAACCAGGGAAGUAUUAGACUGAAGGCAGCAGCCAAGAAGUUUGAAAGCGAAUCUGAUAUCAUUCAUCGCACGUUGAAAAUUGUUAGCAAGCCGGAAUUUGAAUGUCAAGAUUAUACUCACAUCAAGAAAUCCUCAUCUGGACCGUUUAAUAUUUCUUGUAGUAUUUACAUGAAUCCUCUUACGGAAGAUUGGAAAUGGUCUGUUAAUGAAGAAUUCGAAUUGCAUCCCUUAAAUAAAACGGUGAUUGUAGACAAUACCACAAUAACCGUUGAAUCAUCUAAGAUCGAUGAUGAAUACAAGCUUGAACUGGUCUUAUCUACAAAUGAAUUUGAUGUAAGCUUUUUGGAAAGCUUGGAUUUAAAAUUGAAGGCAGAAAAUGAGCAUGGUUCGAAUGAAAAAGAAAUUUCUAUUUCAUGGGCAGGAAACGUUAACAGCGGAAGCGCAUCAAUUGCAGCUCAUAUACUUUUAAUGGUGACUAUUUUGUCGCUCCUCACGAGAUAAGAAUUUUAUGAUACUGUUAGAAAAGGAAAGAGUUCUGGAAAUGAUUAAGUUCGUAUUUCUUUAUAUGUUUUUCUAUAGUUUCUUCAACAUCUGAGUUGAAUAUUGCUACGAUUUGUUUAUUUAUAGAAAAUGCACGUGAUGCAGUAGCUAACCUCGUUUUAAACAUAUGUUUUUAAGCGACAGAUGCCUGAUUAAUGGCAUUCCAUUGCUGCAGCUUUUUAUACCAGUCAAAAAAUAUCUAUUUUCAAAUAAAUAUAUAAUUGGUAUAUAUCUUUUUUUUUCUACAGGGUUUCUUUCCAAAGAAUCAAUAGCGAACUCACAUUCCUACACUUUUAAUAAUCAAAUUAUAUUUUUCUGCUUCUUUCCACGUUCUCUUUGUAUUUUUGUUUUACUGUCCUUUUUUAUAUUUAAGUGUUCGUAGAAGUUAUGAGAUUAUAGUUAAUACUCCUUUUAAGUUUCUAUUUUUACGUUCAUUGUUAUAUGGCAAAAACCAGCUGUAAAAACUCAAUAGCAACCAUUAUUUAAAAAUAAGAAAAAGAACAUCUUCAAAAGCUUACUCAUAGAUAAUUUACUAAAGUUUACAGCUGUACACAAUCGAUAUACUUCGUCUCCUAUAUCCUAUAUUUUAUCCUCAACGCUUUUCUAAAUACAUAUGUAUAUCCGUGUGUAUAGCCCACACAUGUAUACGUAUAUAUUUAUUCUCUAUUUAUUUUUAUCUAUUUAUGAAUAUAAAAUGUAAACGAAAAAAAUGUUACAUGAUAUUAUGUAAGAAAAGUCACUUGUAUGAUAGAAGGAAAGUUGUAUUAGUAGAGCAUCACUAUAACGUUAAGAAGACGCUGAAUGUUGUUAACUAAAGCCAAAACCUUGGUUCCCCAUUCUUUUCGAUGUCGAAAACGUGUGUUGUGCCAUGCUUGUACUUAUUCUUGCAACGUACGUAAUUCGCUUAUGCUUGAAAAAAACGUGUGCUUAGUUAAUUACGUAUUGGUUUGAUAAUCGCGGAGUUAGUACGCCUGUUUUAUAAUUUAUAUAUAACAUGCUUAAAAUUUACUUAAAUAUUAAACAUCUGUAUAUAUACAUAUAUAUAUA